GGCAGGUGGAAGCUAGACUGCAGAAGUUCCUGAAGGUGAGGUGAGGGGUUGAGACAUGAUUCUGUAUGCUGUGUUUUGUCUGGAAUGGGGAGAUAUGGGAAGUUUAUGACACCAGCCAGGAGCCCUGGGGGUGAUGGAUUCGAAGAAGACAGGGUGCCAACACUGAACCCACAGCUGGCGAAUAACAGCGUAAAGAUGAGGAGGACAUGAACUGGACAGUGGAUGGGGAAACAGGCAGACAGAGAAAGAACCAUGGGAACGGGGCAUUGACUGGCUUUGGCUCAUGGCUCAGUCCUUGGCUUAGAAUCUACAUACUCUGCAAAGUUUGCUAGAUGCAAAACUAUGGAUACGACAAUAUAUAUAUGAUAUAUGAGGAACUAAAGGAUACAACAAAAAAAGGCUUUGGGUUUUAUAACCUGAGCAUCCAGAAGGAUUCCGUAGCAUUAAGCAGACUAAAGAAGACAGAAGGGUCUGAAGUGUGUUUACGGCAUACAGAUGGGAGCUCUGAUCUGCGGUUGCUUGAAGGGCAUCAGUUGCAAAGGGGCAGAUGGGCCGAUGGAAAUGUUCCACACCUUGAUCGAGAUGUUCGGUACCUAGGGUCUAAGCCUUGGAUAACCUUCCAGGAUUCCCUGCCGAUUUCAGAUCUACCGUGCACUGACUACCCAGCUCCCAGCAUGCGCUUCACAGACCUGCAUCCUCAUCCUGGCUCAUGAUGUAAGACCACACGGGGAGAAAUGAGUCACGGUGAAGAAUUCGGGCGAAGGAUGUGGGGACAGGCAGGCUGCUUCAGGCCAGGAGGCGGAGGAGGGCUGCUGAAAGCAAGGACAGGGGCUCUGAAGCUGGCGGGGCUCCAAGGCAGCCUGGCCCCGCUGCACACAACAGCGCCCAUUCAUGCCCUUGCCAAGCCCUCCCCCCACGCUCAGGGCCGACAGUCCCCAGCUGUGCAUGCAGGUGCCCAUUGCUGACAACGUGAGCUGAUGCUGCAAACCUUGGGAGAGGGGCCGGAUGUCUGGAGCACGAACAGCAUUGCCCUGGCCUCCUGUACAGGGCGUGUGACCUCCCCCCGGCGUGCACAGUGGAGGUGGGAAGCGGGAGGUGAGACUGGCCGGCCCGCUAGCCUGGGCAGCAUUUCCCAACCUCGUCAUUAUGAGGGCCUGGCUCCUCCUCUGUGGUGGGGACUGUCCUCUGCACUGCACAUUGCGGAGCGGCACGUCAUGAUCUCACAGUUCGUGACAUGGAGCCCUAUCUUUGGCUCCAUGUGCUGACGGUGUGGAGCCUGCUUCGGAUUCUCUCCUCCUCUCUCUCUGCCCCUCCCCCACUCGUGUUUUU